GAUGAACGCUGGCGGUAUGCCUAACACAUGCAAGUCGUACGAGAGUUUUUAACUCUAGUGGCGGACGGGUGAGUAACACGUGAGAAUUUGCCUUUAGGAGGGGGAUAACAAUUGGAAACGAAUGCUAAUACCCCCAUAUGCUUUUGAGUGAAAUGGAUUUUAUCCGCCUAGAGAGAAGCUCGCGGCUGAUUAGCUUGUUGGUAAGGUAAGAGCUUACCAAGGCGACGAUCAGUAUCUGGUUUUGAGAGGACGAUCAGACACACUGGAACUGAGACACGGUCCAGACUCCUACGGGAGGCAGCAGUGGGGAAUUUUCCGCAAUGGGCGAAAGCCUGACGGAGCAAUACCGCGUGAGGGAAGAAUGCCUAUGGGUUGUAAACCUCUUUUUCAGGGAGGAAUAAAAUGACGUGUACCUGAAGAAUAAGCAUCGGCUAACUCCGUG
rnacentral:rRNA from 1 species